AUACGUAGGGGGCGAGCGGUGUCCGGAAUGAUUGGGCGUAAAGGGCGCGUAGGCGGCCCGGUAAGUCUGGAGUGAAAGUCCUGUUUUUAAGAUGGGAAUUGCUUUGGAUACUGUCGGGCUUGAGUGCAGGAGAGGGAAGCGGAAUUCCCAGUGUAGCGGAGAAAUGCGUAGAGAUUGGGAGGAACACCAGUGGCGAAGGCGACUUACUGGACUGUAACUGACGCUGAGGUGCGAAAGUGUGGGGAGCAAACAGGAUUAGAUACCCUGGUAGUCCACACUGUAAACGAUGAAUGCUAGGUGUAGGGGGUAUCGACCCCUUCUGUGCCGCAGUCAACACAAUAAGCAUUCCGCCUGGGGAGUACGGCCGCAAGGUUGAAACUUAAAGGAAUUGACGGGG
rnacentral:rRNA from 1 species